rnacentral:rRNA from 1 species
AUUGAACGCUGGCGGCAGGCCUAACACAUGCAAGUCGAACGAGUGGCGGAUGGGUGAGUAAUGUCUGGGAAACUGCCCGAUGGGGGGGGAUAACUACUGGAAACGGUAGCUAAUACCGCAUACCAUCUGAUGUGCCCAGAUGGGAUUAGCUAGUAGGUGGGGUAACGGCUCACCUAGGCGACGAGCCCUAGCUGGGCUGAGAGGAGGACCAGCCACACUGGAACGGGGACACGGUCCAGACUCCUACGGGAGGCAGCAGUGGGGAAUAUUGCACAAUGGGCGCAAGCCUGAUGCAGCCAUGCCGCGUGUAUGAAGAAGGCCUUCGGGUUGUAAAGUACUUUCAGCGAGGAGGCGUUACUCGCAGAAGAAGCACCGGCUAACUCCGUGCCAGCAGCCGCGGUAAUAC